GCCGCAGAGGCGCUGGCCGCCCGGCGGGUCUCCCGGAGUGCGCAUGCGCGGGCUCGGUGUGCGGGCCGGUCCCCUUCAAGAACCGCACGAAGGCUCCUGCUUCCAAGCUGCUUUUGUCUCGUGUGUGACCCUGGAGGCCCCCACCUCGGGAUCGUGGUUUCCUGGGGCGCUGAAGAAGCCCCGAUCGGCUCACAGGACAGAGCGGAGGAGAGGCCUGGCCCGCCUGAAACUCGCCUUUGCUGCGUUCCUGCUUCCUCUGCCUCCGAUGUCAAAGGCUUGGAUUCCAGGCAAACCCGGAAUAAUGUCCCAGUCAUCAAAUUUGAAACCAAACUUCAGCAACGAUGUGUGUGUGCUGCCAGAAAGCAAAUAGUUUUUUCUUUUCUUUCUCAUUUUUUUAAGCCCAAACAAAACAUCCUCUUAUGAAAUA